rnacentral:rRNA from 1 species
UACGUAGGCAGCAAGCGUUGUUCGGAGUUACUGGGCGUAAAGGGUGUGUAGGCGGUUAUUUAAGUUUGGUGUGAAAUCUCCCGGCUCAACCGGGAGGGUGCGCCGAAUACUGAAUGACUUGGAGUGCAGGAGAGGAAAGUGGAAUUCCUGGUGUAGCGGUGAAAUGCGUAGAUAUCAGGAGGAACACCGGUGGUGUAGACGGCUUUCUGGACCGUAACUGACGCUGAGACACGAAAGCGUGGGUAGCAAACCGG